rnacentral:rRNA from 1 species
CCUACGGGCGGCAGCAGUGAGGAAUAUUGGUCAAUGGACGAGAGUCUGAACCAGCCAAGUAGCGUGAAGGAUGACUGCCCUAUGGGUUGUAAACUUCUUUUAUAUGGGAAUAAAACGUUCCACGUGUGGGAUUUUGUAUGUACCAUAUGAAUAAGGAUCGGCUAACUCCGUGCCAGCAGCCGCGGUAAUACGGAGGAUCCGAGCGUUAUCCGGAUUUAUUGGGUUUAAAGGGAGCAUAGGUGGAUUGUUAAGUCAGUUGUGAAAGUUUGCGGCUCAACCGUAAAAUUGCAGUUGAAACUGGCAGUCUUGAGUACAGUAGAGGUGGGCGGAAUUCGUGGUGUAGCGGUGAAAUGCUUAGAUAUCACGAAGAACUCCGAUUGCGAAGGCAGUUCACUGGACUGCAACUGACACUGAGGCUCGAAAGUGUGGGUAUCAAACAGGAUUAGAUACCCCUGUAGUC